rnacentral:rRNA from 1 species
CCUACGGGUGGCUGCAGUGGGGAAUAUUGGACAAUGGGGGAAACCCUGAUCCAGCGACGCCGCGUGAGUGAAGAAGUAUUUCGGUACGUAAAGCUCUAUCAGCAGGGAAGAAAAACCGGCCUUAGGGCCGCCAGACGGUACCUGACUAAGAAGCCCCGGCUCACUACGUGCCAGCAGCCGCGGUAAUACGUAGGGGGCAAGCGUUAUCCGGAUUUACUGGGUGUAAAGGGAGCGUAGACGGCAGCGCAAGUCUGGAGUGAAAUGCCGGGGCCCAACCCCGGAACUGCUUUUGAAACUGUGAAGCUGGAGUGCAGGAGAGGUAAGCGGAAUUCCGAGUGUAGCGGUGAAAUGCGUAGAUAUUAGGAGGAACACCAGUGGCGAAGGCGGCUUACUGGACUGUAACUGACGUUGAGGCUCGAAAGCGUGGGGAGCAAACAGGAUUAGAUACCCUGGUAGUC